UAAAUGUGUGCGUUUGCGAGCGCUUGCUCGCGACUGAUUGGUCCAACAUGCACGCACACUUACGCAAUACCCAUGUAUACGACGUAACCACUAGUAAAGUUCACUCGCCUUCGUGAAUUGCAAGAACUAUACAUAAAAUAUGGUAGAAAAAGCCGCCUUACCAUUAAAGUGCGCCCACCAAAAGAAUCGCUUGGUUUUUAUAUCGAGCUCAUUAUAGUUGUGAAAAAGCCUUCGAUAAGAUGAUGGCUAUAAAUGUGGUGGGUUCCAUUCACACACCGUAGAAAGAAACCUUAUUAAAUUUAGAACUGACUGCUUUAUAGUUUGCAUUAAGCUUUAUUUACGCCAGAGUAACAUAGUGCGAUAUUGCGGGCCGUACGUACUAUAUAAUUUAUAAAGGUCUUCUGACGAUUCUUGCUAGUCUCUUCAAGAAUCGUCAGUAGAAUCAUUAUCAACCCAUCACCGGCCCACUAUGAAAACAGGUCACCUCGUAGAAUGAGAAAGGUUUAGCCGUAGUCCACCACGCUAGCCAAGUGCAGGUUGGCAGACUUCACACACCUUUGAGAACAUUAUGGAGAACUCAGUCAUGCAAGUUUUGUCAAAUGUUUUCUUCUAAAGUACAUAAUUGGUAUUUAAUUUCUUAAAACGUUCAUUAUCAAAAAAUACACUGCCGCGUUGUCACAUGUUGUUGCUCCGGCGUAAAAAGUAUUUUAGUAAUAGUAUACUUUUUCGUACUUACAUCAAUGUACUUACACUUAAAAUUUAUCGAUGUUAACAUGGCCAUUGUACUUUAUUUUUUGAAUAUAUUAUUUUUUUACUACUU